rnacentral:rRNA from 1 species
CAGUAGCCACGGGAAUACGGAGGAUCCAAGCGUUAUCCGGAAUCAUUGGGUUUAAAGGGUCCGUAGGCGGUCUUGUAAGUCAGUGGUGAAAGCCCAUCGCUCAACGGUGGAACGGCCAUUGAUACUGCAGGACUUGAAUUAUUGGGAAGUAACUAGAAUAUGUAGUGUAGCGGUGAAAUGCUUAGAGAUUAAAUGGAAUACCAAUUGCGAAGGCAGGUUACUACCAAUUGAUUGACGCUGAUGGACGAAAGCGUGGGUAGCGAACAGGAUUAGAUACCCGCGUAGUCCCUGUCUCUUAUAC